CUAGCGACUUCAGAGUUUGAUCCUGGCUCAGGAUGAACGCUGGCGGCGUGCUUAACACAUUCAAGUCGAACGGUGAUAGGGCUUCGGCCCCUGAUCAGUGGCGGACGGGUGAGUAACGCGUGAGCAAUCUGCCUAUGUGAACGGAAUAACGUCUGGAAACGGCCGCUAAUACCGUAUAAUGCAUUUGGAUCGCAUGUUCCGAAUGCCAAAGAUUUUAUCGCACAUAGAUGAGCUCGCGUCCCAUUAGAUAGUUGGUGAGGUAACGGCCCACCAAGUCUACGAUGGGUAGCCGGACUGAGAGGUUGAACGGCCACAUUGGAACUGAGAAACGGUCCAG
rnacentral:rRNA from 1 species